GCAAGCGAGUCCAGGCAAGCGAGUCCAGGCAAGCGAGCGAGUCCAGGCAAGCGAGUCCAGGCAAGCGAGUCCAGGCAAGCGAGUCCAGGCAAGCGUGUUCAGGUAUUAGGCAAGCAACGCGAGUUUAGCCAAGCAAGUUCAGGUUUUAUGCAAGCGAGUUUAGGUUUUAUGCAAGCGAGUUUAGGUUUUAUGCAAGCGAGUUUAGGUUUUAUGCAAGCGAGUUUAGGUUUUAUGCAAGCGAGUUUAGGUUUUAUGCAAGCAAGUUUAGACAAGCGAGUUUAGGCAAGCAAGUUUAGGUAAGAGAGUCAAGUUACUUUAGGCCUCACUUUAUUUGCGGUUAAAUUGCGGCAUUAGGUUUAGAAAGAAGGUUAAGAUCCAGGCUCAGGUUUGCUUCCAGGCUCGUCCCUCUAGCCGCUCCCUAUAAAGAGGAUUCCCAGCUACCGUGUUAAAAUACAACAGCUGGGAUUACAGAUAUGGAGUACAGAAAUAAAUGACAAAGAUUGAUUCAAACAUUCUUCCCCCAAAAUGUGGUGCAACAUAAUGGAGAAAAUAAUUACUUUCUCUCCAUUGAAACCCAGUCAUAUCUUACGAUCUCACGAGGUCCCGCCGCAAGGGGCGGACUUACAAGCUCUAUAGAGUGUGCACUGUGUGUUAAUGUUGGGUGUGGAUUAAUGUGCUGGUGUAGCCAGGGAUCCUCAGGGUUUAUGGGGAGUAGGACACACUGGUGUAGUUCAGUGCUGUGAAGUAAAUUGAUGCAAAAAGUAGAAUCAGUUUCAAGGGCAAUCAAAUGUCUAUAAAUGCAGGAACAGCCCCAUCUGGUCUCACUCAGCAUUUGAACAGUCCUAGAGAACCAGGUUUAAAAAAAAAUGUCAAUACGAGCCUCCAGGUGCAUUGGAGUUACUGCAUUUAAUUAACUUUAAUUUAAUUAAGAGCACACUAGUCAGUGGAGAUGUUCACAGAAAAGACUGGUCUUCAGACCUUUAUAAAGAU
ensembl:lncRNA